rnacentral:rRNA from 1 species
CUAGCUACAGGCUUAACACAUGCAAGUCGUUGGGCAUCAGGAAGAAAGCUUGCUUUCUUUGCUGGCGACCGGCGCACGGGUGAGUAACACGUAUCCAACCUGCCCUUUACUCGGGGAUAGCCUUUCGAAAGAAAGAUUAAUACCCGAUAGCAUAAUGAUUCCGCAUGGUUUCAUUAUUAAAGGAUUCCGGUAAAGGAUGGGGAUGCGUUCCAUUAGGUUGUUGGUGAGGUAACGGCCCACCAAGCCUUCGAUGGAUAGGGGUUCUGAGAGGAAGGUCCCCCACAUUGGAACUGAGACACGGUCCAAACUCCUACGGGAGGCAGCAGUGAGGAAUAUUGGUCAAUGGGCGCUAGCCUGAACCAGCCAAGUAGCGUGAAGGAUGAAGGCUCUAUGGGUCGUAAACUUCUUUUAUAUAAGAAUAAAGUGCAGUAUGUAUACUGUUUUGUAUGUAUUAUAUGAAUAAGGAUCGGCUAACUCCGUGCCAGCAGCCGCGGUAAUACGGAGGAUCCGAGCGUUAUCCGGAUUUAUUGGGUUUAAAGGGAGCGUAGGUGGACUGGUAAGUCAGUUGUGAAAGUUUGCGGCUCAACCGUAAAAUUGCAGUUGAUACUGUCAGUCUUGAGUACAGUAGAGGUGGGCGGAAUUCGUGGUGUAGCGGUGAAAUGCUUAGAUAUCGCGAAGAACUCCGAUUGCGAAGGCAGCUCACUGGACUGCAACUGACACUGAUGCUCGAAAGUGUGGGUAUCAAACAGGAUUAGAUACCCUGGUAGUCCACACAGUAAACGAUGAAUACUCGCUGUUUGCGAUAUACAGUAAGCGGCCAAGCGAAAGCAUUAAGUAUUCCACCUGGGGAGUACGCCGGCAACGGUGAAACUCAAAGGAAUUGACGGGGGCCCGCACAAGCGGAGGAACAUGUGGUUUAAUUCGAUGAUACGCGAGGAACCUUACCCGGGCUUAAAUUGCAGUGGAAUGAUGUGGAAACAUGUCAGUGAGCAAUCACCGCUGUGAAGGUGCUGCAUGGUUGUCGUCAGCUCGUGCCGUGAGGUGUCGGCUUAAGUGCCAUAACGAGCGCAACCCUUAUCUUUAGUUACUAACAGGUUAUGCUGAGGACUCUAGAGAGACUGCCGUCGUAAGAUGUGAGGAAGGUGGGGAUGACGUCAAAUCAGCACGGCCCUUACGUCCGGGGCUACACACGUGUUACAAUGGGGGGUACAGAAGGCAGCUAGCGGGUGACCGUAUGCUAAUCCCUAAAGCCUCUCUCAGUUCGGAUUGGAGUCUGCAACCCGACUCCAUGAAGCUGGAUUCGCUAGUAAUCGCGCAUCAGCCACGGCGCGGUGAAUACGUUCCCGGGCCUUGUACACACCGCCCGUCAAGCCAUGAAAGCCGGGGGUACCUGAAGUACGUAACCGCGAGGAGCGUCCUAGGGUAAAACUC